rnacentral:rRNA from 1 species
GACAGAGGGUGCAAACGUUGCUCGGAAUCACUGGGCGUAAAGGGCGUGUAGGCGGGCGUGCAAGUCAGGCGUGAAAUCCCUGGGCUCAACCCAGGAAUUGCACUUGAAACUGCACGUCUUGAGUAUCGGAGAGGAAAGUGGAAUUCCUGGUGUAGAGGUGAAAUUCGUAGAUAUUAGGAAGAACACCGGUGGCGAAGGCGACUCUCUGGUCUGUAACUGACGCUGAGGUGCGAAAGCGUGGGUAGCAAACAGG